UACGGAGGGGGCUAGCGUUAAUCGGAAUUACUGGGCGUAAAGCGCGCGUAGGCGGUUAUGUAAGUUGGAUGUGAAAUCCCCGGGCUUAACCUGGGCACUGCAUUCAAAACUGCAUAGCUAGAGUAUGGGAGAGGAAGGUAGAAUUCCAGGUGUAGCGGUGAAAUGCGUAGAGAUCUGGAGGAAUACCGAUGGCGAAGGCAGCCUUCUGGCCUAAUACUGACGCUGAGGUGCGAAAGCAUGGGGAGCAAACAGG
rnacentral:rRNA from 1 species